rnacentral:rRNA from 1 species
AAGUCUGAUGUGAAAAUGCGCGGCUCAAGUACGUAUUGCGUUGGAAACUGCAAAACUAGAGUACUGGAGAGGUAGGCGGAACUAAAAGUGUAGAGGUGAAAUUCGUAGAUAUUUGUAGGAAUGCCAAUGGGGAAGCCAGCCUACUGGACAGAUACUGACGCUAAAGCGCGAAAGCGUGGGUAGCAA